AGUGAACGCUGGCGGUAGGCCUAACACAUGCAAGUCGAACGGCAGCACAGUAAGAGCUUGCUCUUACGGGUGGCGAGUGGCGGACGGGUGAGGAAUACAUCGGAAUCUACUCUUUCGUGGGGGAUAACGUAGGGAAACUUACGCUAAUACCGCAUACGACCUACGGGUGAAAGCAGGGGAUCUUCGGACCUUGCGCGAUUGAAUGAGCCGAUGUCGGAUUAGCUAGUUGGCGGGGUAAAGGCCCACCAAGGCGACGAUCCGUAGCUGGUCUGAGAGGAUGAUCAGCCACACUGGAACUGAGACACGGUCCAGACUCCUACGGGAGGCAGCAGUGGGGAAUAUUGGACAAUGGGCGCAAGCCUGAUCCAGCCAUACCGCGUGAGUGAAGAAGGCCUUCGGGUUGUAAAGCCCUUUUGUUGGGAAAGAAAAACAGCAGGUUAAUACCCCGCUGUUCUGACGGUACCCAAAGAAUAAGCACCGGCUAACUUCGUG
rnacentral:rRNA from 1 species